AUACGGAGGGUGCGAGCGUUGUUCGGAAUUAUUGGGCGUAAAGAGCAUGUAGGCGGUCUGUUAAGUCUGGUGUGAAAGCCCGGGGCUCAACCCCGGAAGUGCAUUGGAUACUGGCAGACUUGAGUAUGCGAGAGGAAAGCGGAAUUCCGAGUGUAGGAGUGAAAUCCGUAGAUAUUCGGAGGAACACCAGUGGCGAAGGCGGCUUUCUGGACCAAUACUGACGCUGAGAUGCGAAAGCGUGGGGAGCGAACAGAAUUAGAUACCCCGGUAGUCC
rnacentral:rRNA from 1 species